GACAGAGGAGCCAAGCGUUGUCCGGAUUGACUGGGCGUAAAGCGCACGCAGGCGGGUGGGCGCGGGGGGGGUGAAACCUGGCCGCUUAACGGCCAGCGGCCAUCCCAUACGGCGCGCCUGGAGCCUUGCAGAGGGCGGUGGAAUUGCCGGUGUAGUGGUGAAAUGCGUAGAUAUCGGGAGGAACACCAGUGGCGAAGGCGACUACCUGGCCUGUUCUUGACGCUGAGGCGCGAAAGCUAGGGGAGCAAACGGG
rnacentral:rRNA from 1 species